rnacentral:rRNA from 1 species
CCUACGGGAGGCAGCAGUGAGGAAUAUUGGUCAAUGGACGAGAGUCUGAACCAGCCAAGUAGCGUGAAGGAUGACUGCCCUAUGGGUUGUAAACUUCUUUUAUAAAGGAAUAAAGCGAGCCACGUGUGCCUUUUUGCAUGUAAUUUGUGAAUAAGGAUCGGCCAAAUCCGUGCCAGCAGCCGCGGUAAUACGGAGGAUCCGAGCGUUAUCCGGAUUUAUUGGGGUUAAAGGGAGGGUAAAUGGGUUGUUAAGUCAGUUGUGAAAGUUUGCGGCUCAACCGUAAAAGUGCAAUUGAUACUGGCAGUCUUGAGUACAGUUGAGGUAGGCGGAAUUCGUGGUGUAGCGGUGAAAUGCUUAGAUAUCACGAAGAACCCCGAUUGCGAAGGCAGCUUACUAAACUGCGACUGACACUGAUGCUCGAAAGUGUGGGUAUCAAACAGGAUUAGAUACCCGGGUAGUC